CUCCCAAAAAUAAAGUCUCAAAGAGAGAGCGGACUUCGGUCAAAAACACGCAAACGACUAUUGCAAAAUUUCCAGGUGUAAAUUCAAAUUGGCCAGGUGUUCUAAGAACGACUUUCCUCGACGGCGUCUGUUUUAAUAAUUUGCCCAUUGUCUUGACUUAUUCAAGACCAGAUUGUUUAGGCAGAAAGCCUUGGGAUUGACAGGGAAGUAUUUGGGAGAAAUGUUCGGAGGCAUUUGACAAUCAACUGCUUUAUACUAGCUGAUUCACUGCCUGUGUCGACUCAACGAACGUCUCGCUGGGCUAACCUUAAGUUGUUCACUUCAACGUUUGAAACCGCAAGUGAUGCAAACGCAGUUAGAUAAAUUGUCGGCCUGAACUAGCCUUAUUUUACUCUCUCUGCAAAGAUCAGCAAGGCAUACAUCGAAGUUUUCCCUUGUACUUCUUUGGAAAAGGUUUAUUAUUAUAGCUGACGAAGACAAAGUAUCGGUAUAUUACAUGUAAACUUUUAUCAAAUCCCGUUGGAAGUACAGUUAAUAUUGCUAACCUUCGCUCAUCCUUCAACGUUAAUUUAAAUUGAAAGGUUUCUCAAAUACAUUCAGUUUAAUACUUCUUCGAAGAGAUAAACAAAGUCAUGGUUUUAUACGCCACUGAUUGAAUGCCAGCUUUAAAAUUACAUUGCGAAAUGUCGUACGAGUUAAAUAUUUGCACGAUAUUAACUCAUGGGGCACUUCUGACCAAUGGGAAUUUUGCGUACGCUCCGUACGCAUAAAUCGACUUUUUACUAAUAAAGGUCGCAGGCCGUUCCUCGUGCAGCCUCUGCCUGACAACGGCCUGCGAGCAGGCUAGCGUACGGAUGACCGAAUCAGUAUUUAUCAGUGGAUCGAAGUAUCGAACGCGACAUAUAAAUUUGAGAGGUUUUUAAUACUACUACAGACGACAGUUGGGUGAUAACUGUCAGGUUUUGCUGUAAAAUGUUUGGGUCAUCUGGAUUUGGCGGCACGACGAGUAGCAUGGGUAGUAAAAUGCCUUCAAACCUUGGUUUGGGCACCCUACAAAACCCGAUGAAAGACGUCGAGGUUGCGUCCCCCCCUGACGACAGUAUUAGUGCCAUAAAGUUUAGUCCUAAAGCUAACUUCUUUGUUGCAUCUUCAUGGGCAAACGAU